AUUGAACGCUGGCGGCAGGCCUAACACAUGCAAGUCGAACGGUAACAGGAAACAGCUUGCUGUUUCGCUGACGAGUGGCGGACGGGUGAGUAAUGUCUGGGAAACUGCCUGAUGGAGGGGGAUAACUACUGGAAACGGUAGCUAAUACCGCAUAACGUCGCAAGACCAAAGAGGGGGACCUUCGGGCCUCUUGCCAUCAGAUGUGCCCAGAUGGGAUUAGCUAGUAGGUGGGGUAACGGCUCGCCUAGGCGACGAUCCCUAGCUGGUCUGAGAGGAUGACCAGCCACACUGGAACUGAGACACGGUCCAGACUCCUACGGGAGGCAGCAGUGGGGAAUAUUGCACAAUGGGCGCAAGCCUGAUGCAGCCAUGCCGCGUGUAUGAAGAAGGCCUUCGGGUUGUAAAGUACUUUCAGCGGGGAGGAAGGGAGUAAAGUUAAUACCUUUGCUCAUUGACGUUACCCGCAGAAGAAGCACCGGCUAACUCCGUG
rnacentral:rRNA from 1 species